rnacentral:lncRNA from 1 species
GGGACUCUGCAGCUCGAUUCUCCUGCGGCUCUACAGCAGGUCCCCAAGGCGCUGGCGCUGGGGGGCGGGGGCCGGGGACCGUGAACCCGCCUGGAACGCAGCCGGUGCCACUCCAGGGAACAGGCAAGCCAAGAGGACAAGCAAUCAGCUCUGUUCUACAACACUGUCUCUGGAGUGGAGAGGAGGACGUCCUGCCCCUGGGGCUGUGACAUAUGCCACUCAGACCAUCCAACUCCCUUUGGCUCUGACGUCAUGCUCACCAAGCAAACUUUGGAUUGUCAUUUGAUUUCCCAUAUAGACUCUGCUGCAGCACAGAGAAUAUACUGACCAGUUAAUAGCAGUCAAUACCCCUGAGUUCACUUACCAGUCAGUAACCUGAAGACACCAAAUUUCCAGACUGCCAAAGCUGACAUCUAGACUCUAGGCUGUCAACUCACCCAUGUGUCAUGACUGAUAAAAAGACCUCUCUUUAGAUUCUUCUUUACUUGUAAUACUUUUCUUUACUAGUAGUGACAGAAGCUUGUUUGCUUGCAAAAGGAACAUUCAAUUUCACCUCUUUUAGAUCUAUUACGAGGAAAAUCUAACUCUGUUUUUAAAAUAAAAUUUAAGAGUUUCUGCUAUGAUGGCAAUAAACAGCAAAGGAAUUAGAUAAUAUUAUUUUGUUUACAUUGGAGAGGAAAGUCAGGACUGCCAACUUUUAUAGCAAACAGAUAAUUACAUGAGCACUAAAACACAAUACUCUAAAAGCAGCGAUGGCCCAAGCCUAGUAUUAUGUUGAUUGUGUGACUCACAGUUUUUUAUUUCAUGUCUGGAAUAUUGUUUUACAAACGUGAAAGAUGUCAUCUAAAGUCAACUUACAGAGAACUCAAGCCAGCAUGGACUUUGCCUGAGAAUCUCAGGAGCCAGGCCAAUUUACCAUUAUUCUUUACUAAUCAAGCUUUACCAAUCAAAUAAUAGUGAAUUCACAUUUGGGCAAAUUAUACACUGCCACAGUCUACAAUGGUUAUGACUUAUGCUGAAUUUAGGGGAAGGAAGGCUUAAUGAACACUUCACAUUGGAUGAGAUAAUGUUAUUUGGAUUGCUAAAGAAAAUGAAGGCUUUGAGGAAAUGCCCCGAAUGUCACAGAGCUAAUAACCUGAGGACAUCCCCCACAGAUGUGAGCUCCCAGGCUGAAACAAAAAAAAGUAUGGACCAUUCGGCAUACCCUGCAUCUUCAGGCCUACAUGCUGGGAAUGAGGUUUCCUUGAGAGCGAACUUUUCCUUUAAUGGGAGAAGGGGGAAGAAGUCAGUAAGAAAAGAAAGCCCAACACAAGGAAUAAAAACUAUGUCCCAAGGGGCUUCCAGAAGGGGAAGUGGGUCUGAGACCUGUGAUUUCCUAAUG